GCUUUGUGUCCAACAUUGUUUUUAUUUUGUUUUACUUUUCCUCUCUUUCUCUCGCCCUCUCUUUUUUUCUUUGUUAUUAUUCAAAUUGUAAAUCCACUCUGCAUGUUUAGACAUUGAUUUUCCUUGCAAUUUGCAUAUGAUGCUGCGCCAUGACAUUGAUGCUUCGUGCUUUUCCUCCCCCCCUCUCUAUUUUUUGUAUUUCCAUGCCUAAUUAGAGUGUGGGAAAAAAAAAAAAAAAAAAAAACUUUUGCUUCUGCUAUACCACCAUGUUUAAUUUUAUGUGCAGUUUAUAAUAGAAUGUUUAAGUUUGUUUUCUCUUCAAAGGUAUUUCUUAAAUUUCUCAAAGAUAUUUGAGUAGUUUGUUGUUCAACUACUACAUGAAUUGUUCUGUCAAACUGCCCAAGGGUUCUCAGCAUGAAUUAUUUAUCUUCUGCAAUAGCAUAAAUUAUCCCAUAUUUACAAUUUGGUUUGUGAUUUCGGGAAAACUUUGAGAAUUUAGUAUUUAUAAUACAGAGCUGGUUCAUUUUUCCUUGAUAGGCAAUUUAGUACCAGAUGCAUUGAAAUUUUCUCUUGUUUUUAGUGUGUAUGUGUGUGAUUAAGCAGGUUUGAGAAAAAGUGAUCUGAGUAGCCAAGCUGAACAUAAAUCUUUGACAUGUUUUGGUAGUAAUGGAAUUAGUACAAUAUGUUAUUGAUUUCAAAAAGUUAUUGCUUAUUUGUAUGAGGUUUGAACUCAUCAGCCCAAAUGAAGUGUCUUAUUCGGUGCUAGAGAUUUUCAAAACAGCUAAUUGAAUCGUUUAGUGGAUAUGCUUUACUUGAUAAUGAACUCUAUUGCUCACAAAAGAAGCUCAUUAUAAGUGUCUGAAGAAACUGGGUUUUGAAGUCCCCAACAUGAUUCACUGCUCAAAUCCUUUACAGUUUCUAUAUUAUGGGUUUUUCAAACCUAACUGCCAGGGAUAAGGUAGCGGUAUCAAUAACCAUGAAUGGGUAGUGUUAUAGAGGCUGAGGUACUAAGGGAAAGUGCACAGCCCACGUACUUGUACCCAGCAUAGGGUUGUUCGCUGAUGAACUUUCACCUGUUUGCAUAUGAACAUGGGCAUGACAAAUGUGAGCUCGAGUUUCUGUAUAUUUUGUAUGGCUGCAAAAUGCAUAGGAUCAUCAGCAAAAUGUUUUUGAUACAAACAAGCUAUGAUAUGAAGAAUUUUAUUAGAAACAUGUGCUUGAUUAGAAUUUUUGGUAAUUUAGGCAAAAUCCUUUAUAAAAAGUACUUAAGGCAAAAUUACAUAAGAAGGGAAUUUAAAAGAGGGUAUCUGUGAUUCUGAAAAUUAAAUCAGUUGACUUGAGAAAUCUUGGAGCUAAAAGCAUUUAGGCAUAGUUUAUGCGAUUGAGAAUCUAUCUAUAUUCUAUAUAUAUAUAUAUAUAUAUAUAUAUAUAAAAGAAGAAGAGUAUACGCCACAUGUCAGCAUACUCAUCUUUCAAAUUCCCUUUAAAAUCACCUUCUUUAUUUUUAUUUUAUUUAUUUAUUUAUGGUGCAUAUAAUGUGAGGUAUUUAUUUUUCAAAUUUAGAAAUUAAAAUAAAAAAUUCGGGACAGUCUUUGUGUACAAAAAGGUUCAUAUAAUACAAAUUUUAAUUUACACAGUUAGUGGAAUUGCCAUACACACAAUUGUAUUGUUAUUCAGCUUUUACCAUACAUGAAAUUGCCAUACACGAAAUUUAUUCUUAUUUUAAUUUUAUUUAUUUACUUGUGGUGCAUAUAAUGUGAGGUAUUUAUUUUCUAAUUUAUGUAUAUGGCAGUUUUUUUUUUUAUUUUUUUUUAUUUUUAUAUUACAGUUAAUGGAAUUGUCGUACACGAAAUUGCAUUGUUAUACAGUUUUUACCAUACACGGAAUUGCCAUAUACAGAAUUGUAUUAUUAUAUAGUUUUUACCAUAUACGGAAUUGCAUUAUUAUAUGAAAUUGCAUCAUUAUAGUAACUUUUUGAAAUAAAUUUAAAAUAAAUAAAAUAUUUUAUUUUAUUAUAUUUACCAAAUAAGUCAAAUAUAUUUGACUAUAAAUAACUAGGUGUCAUCUUUCGGUUAUUUAAAAUUUCGGUAUUCAAUACUCUGUUGGGUUUUAUUCUCUCAUAUUUCUAUUUAGUUAUUAAAGUUUUUUUUAUUGAAUUUCAAUUUGUUUUCUUUUUUUGAUGGAUCCUAAUAAAAAUCAUCUUAAUCAUAAGUAUGUGCGUGAACCAUGCUAUGGAUUUUUUAUUGAAGAUGAUGAUGUUGCUGUGGAAAUUGAUGGUAAAUAAUGAAACUUUUCUGAUGAAGAAUCCUCACUGAUUAUAGAUUCAUCCAUAUUUAUCAACUUUUUCAAGAGGAUAUAGAACAAAAAGAUAAAAAUGAGAAGACAAAGUUAAUAAUUGUUUUGUUUUUACUUUAUGAGUUUGUCUCACGAAGUUAUUGAAUUUUGGAGUCCUAAAGUUAUUGAAUUUCAAAAUAAGUAUGUCUAUUAUGAGUAUUUUUUUUACUUUAUUUUUUAAGUUGGUAUCUUUGUUUCAUUUUACUGUAAUAAUUGUUUUCUUUUGAAGAUUGAUGGGUGAAGGUGAUUGCAGCUGUUAAAGAAUAAGUCAAAUAUCUUCUUCAUCUACUUAUUCUGUAUCUAAUGAUUUAAAAAGUAGAGAAGCUAUUGUGAAAAGUAUCGAAGAGUUAGUGAAAUGUAUAGAGGUAAAAAAGCAAUACAAAAAAUAAUAUGGCAAAAUUUUGUUACAUAUAUGUUACCAUAUUAUUUUUUGUAUUGCUUUUUUACUUCUAUAGAUUCCACCAACUCUUCGAUACAUUUCACAAUAGUUUCUCCACUUUCUAAGUCAUUAGAUAUAAAAUAAGUAGAUGAAGAAGAUAGUUGACUUAUUCUUUGAUAGCUGCAAUCACCUUUACCUAUCAAUCUUCACAAGAAAACAAUUAUUAAAGUAAAACGAAACAAAGAUACCACAUUUAAAAAAUAAAGUAAAAGAAAUACUCAUAAUAGACAUACUUAUUUUGAAAUUCAAUAACUUUGGGACUCCAAAAUUCAAUAACUUCGUUUACUCAUAAUAGACAUACGCAUAAAUUGAAGAUGAAACAAUUAUUAACAUCGUCUUCUCAU